CCUACGGGUGGCAGCAGUGAGGAAUAUUGGUCAAUGGGCGCGAGUCUGAACCAGCCAAGUAGCGUGAAGGAUGACUGCCCUACGGGUUGUAAACUUCUUUUAUAAAGGAAUAAAGUCAGGCACGCGUGCCUUUCUGUAUGUAUUGUAUGAAUAAGGAUCGGCUAACUCCGUGCCAGCAGCCGCGGUAAUACGGAGGAUUCGAGCGUUAUCCGGAUUUAUUGGGUUUAAAGGGAGCGUAGAUGGGUUGUUAAGUUAGUUGUGAAAGUUUGCGGCUCAACCGUGAAAUUGCAAUUGAUACUGGCAGCCUAGAGAACAGUUGCGGUAGGCGGAA
rnacentral:rRNA from 1 species